AGAAGGUGGACAAGAAUGUCUGUCAUGCACUUCAGUGGAGAGUGCUAAUAACUGCAACCAUCGAAUCCAAUGUGAUGAUAACGAGUUAUGCUACAUGCAUCACUAUGUAACGGAAUCCGGAUCCUCUGGGUUUGAUUUUGGAUGUGCCUCUCAGCAGGUUUGUUCACAAACGGUCGGUACAAUAUUUGGACGUCGAUCUGAAGGUCACCAUGCAAAGUGUACAUUAUGUUGUGAUGACUCCAAGAUUUGUAACGAAGAUUUAAACUGUACCAGUACAA